AAGGGCAAUGGACAAGCAAAAGGGGAAGUUCUUUGAAACCAGAAAUGGUGGAAGCCUUGGUGUGCGAUGCUAGUUAUAUCAAAUGUUCUCACAAGGACUUCAAUGUGGUGGAGAGGGAUGAAGAUGAGGAGGACGAUGUUGAGAAUAUCAAGUUGCCCAAGAUUGUUGAUGUGGGGGGUGACAACAAUUGAUAUUCGCCAUGUGGGUGUUGCUCUUGCUAUUUUGAAGAUGGAUGUCUACAUGAUCUUCUCAUGUGGAUUGUUGAGGUCAACGUGAUCAUCUCAUGCCAUUUCUUUUGUUGUGAUGAACUUUGAAUUAUGUGUGCUGUUGUG